AAGAACAGCCGGCCAAGGAAACAAAAGAAACAACUCAAAACUCUUCAAAUUCCAUCUUCAUUUCUUCAACAAAACACCACCAAACUCCACCAAAAUUGAACCGCACCUAGCUAAUCACUUGGUGAUCAUCUUAAGCUAGAAAAGGGGCUUCAUUUCCACGGUUUUCUUGAGCUUCAAAGUAAUUAAAAAUUCUGAUUUUUUCAUCAAGAGAGGCACUCGAGGGAAUCUCCAAGAGAAACUCGGAGCGGACACCUAAACGCUUGUUGAGAACCAUUCGCUUAUUUUGGAUUAGUGAGUCCUGGCGAGAGCUAUGCAGGCGUCCCGCUGAUAUCCUUUGGUUCGCCUUAGGGAGAAGUGGGGGCGUCACACAGAGUGGAGGUAGAAGAACAACCAAGAACCAGCACAUUGGUGAACAAAGUUGCGAUGCACAAGCAUCUAUUCAUGAGGAGCAACAUGUAGAUUCCUUAAGUGAGCAGCAACAUGAGCAACAGCAUGUAGGUUCUUCAACUGGAGGACAAAGUGGUGAUGCACAAGCAUGUCAUAGCCAGCAGCAUGUUGGAGAAACUGAUACACAACAAGAAGGAUUGAGCUGUCAACAACCUAUUGAAGAUGAAGGAAAUGAGCUGUCAACAGCCUAUUAAAGAAGAAUGGGAAAAGGAUCAGCCACUAAAAGAGGAACUCGGCCAUGAUAGACCAAACUUUUGACAAACUCUUUCUGUCUUAUGCUGUGUAAACUGAUGAUGACAAGUCAUAACCAUAUCAGAACAUGUUUUUGUGUC